rnacentral:lncRNA from 1 species
AUGUCACCAAAUUACCAGAAGAAGCUGCAACUGGGUGCAUGCUGCCUUGCUUCUGGCAUAUUGGCAGGGGUACAAAGAACACAUUCUUCAUGGACAGGAACUCAUAAAUGGACAACUGCUCAGGUAACAAAACUGUUGGGAGCUCAUUUGGCUUGUGGAAAAUGCUUAAAAGU